rnacentral:rRNA from 1 species
GUAACACGUGGGUAACCUGCCUGUAAGACUGGGAUAACUCCGGGAAACCGGGGCUAAUACCGGAUGCUUGAUUGAACCGCAUGGUUCAAUCCUUAAAAGGUGGCUUUUAGCUACCACUUACAGAUGGACCCGCGGCGCAUUAGCUAGUUGGUGAGGUAACGGCUCACCAAGCGACGAUGCGUAGCCGACCUGAGAGGGUGAUCGGCCACACUGGGACUGAGACACGGCCCAGACUCCUACGGGAGGCAGCAGUAGGGAAUCUUCCGCAAUGGACGAAAGUCUGACGGAGCAACGCCGCGUGAGUGAUGAAGGUUUUCGGAUCGUAAAACUCUGUUGUUAGGGAAGAACAAGUACCGUUCGAAUAGGGCGGCACUUGACGGUACCUAACCAGAAAGCCACGGCUAACUACGUGCCAGCAGCCGCGGUAAUACGUAGGUGGCAAGCGUUGUCCGGAAUUAUUGGGCGUAAAGCGCGCGCAGGCGGUUUCUUAAGUCUGAUGUGAAAGCCCCCGGCUCAACCGGGGAGGGUCAUUGGAAACUGGGGAACUUGAGUGCAGAAGAGGAGAGUGGAAUUCCACGUGUAGCGGUGAAAUGCGUAGAGAUGUGGAGGAACACCAGUGGCGAAGGCGACUCUCUGGUCUGUAACUGACGCUGAGGCGCGAAAGCGUGGGGAGCGAACAGGAUUAGAUACCUGGUAGUCCACGCCGUAAACGAUGAGUGCUAAG